rnacentral:lncRNA from 1 species
AUUCGUAUAAAAAUAUGUUACGACAUCAUUGAUAGUACAUAUGGAGGUUAGCCAAAUUCUAUGGCCUAGAGAUUGAUGUCCCAUCAAGCUAUUUGAGCCUGUAAGUCUCAGGGCGUGCUACUUCGUCCACCUGAUAAGGGCCUUCCUAGUUGGGUGACAGCUUCCCUUGCUCAGUGGUUUGUGACACCUCGGCCCACCAUAACACCAGAUCGCCAGCACGAAAUUUCUUUAGUUUAACUCGAGAAUUAUAAUACCUAGCCACUCUUUGAUCGUAGGUAGCCAUUCUUACGACAACGCGCUCUCUGCUCUCUUCAAUUUAGUUGGGGUUAGCCUAU